GGGUGCGUAACACGUAUGCAACCUACCUUCAACUGGGGAAUAGCCCGAAGAAAUUCGGAUUAAUACCCCAUAAUAAUAGAAACUCGGAUGUUCUUCUAUGGAGAACUGCGGUGGUUAUUGAGAUGCGUCUACUCUGGUCGUAUGAGGUAAGGGCGGCCAGACUCAAUCGAUGGGUGGGGACAGAGAAGUCGCCCCGGUAUGGUGCUGCGACACGGACCACAAUCCGACGGGAGGCUGAAGAGUAGAGUAUUGGGGACUGGACGACAGUCCGAUCCAGGCAGGCCGCGUGUAGGAAGACUGCCCUCUGGGUUGUACACUACUUUUAUAAGGGAAUAAACCCGCGUAUGUGUACGGGUCUGAAUGUCUCUUAAGAAUAAGCCGCGGCUAACUCUGUGACAACACCCGCGGAAAUACGGAGUGUGCAACGCGUUAUGCGGAUCUAGGGGGUUAAAAGGGUCCGCAUGUGGAAGUGUAAGUCAGGGGAGAAAUCUCGCGGCUUACGCGGAAAAGUGCCAUUGAUACUGCAGUUCUAGAGUAUGCUCGAUGUAGGCGGAAUAUGUCAUGUAGCGGUGAAAUGCAUAGAUAUGACAUAGGACACCAAUAGCGAAGGCAGCUUACCAGAUCAUAACUGACACUGAGGGACGAAAGCGUGGGGAGCGAACAGGAUUAGAUACCCUGGUAGUCCACGCCGUAAACGAUGAUCACUAGACAUUGGCGACAUACUGUCGGUGUCAAAGCGAAAGUAUUAAGUGAUCCACCUGGGGAGUACGCCGGCAACGGUGAAACUCAAAGGAAUUGACGGGGGCCCGCACAAGCGGUGGAGCAUGUGGUUUAAUUCGAUGAUACGCGAGGAACCUUACCUGGGCUUAAAUGCAGAACGACCGAUCCGGAAACGGAUCUUUCUUCGGACGGACUGCAAGGUGCUGCAUGGUUGUCGUCAGCUCGUGCCGUGAGGUGUCGGGUUAAGUCCCAUAACGAGCGCAACCCCUAUCGUUAGUUGCCAGCGGAUAAUGCCGGGGACUCUAACGAAACUGCCCGUGCAAGCGGAGAGGAAGGUGGGGAUGACGUCAAAUCAUCACGGCCCUUACGUCCAGGGCUACACACGUGCUACAAUGGCGCAUACAAAGGGCAGCUACCACGCGAGUGGAUGCUAAUCUCUAAAGUGCGUCUCAGUUCGGAUUGAAGUCUGCAACUCGACUUCAUGAAGCUGGAAUCGCUAGUAAUCGCGCAUCAGCCAUGGCGCGGUGAAUACGUUCCCGGGCCUUGUACACACCGCCCGUCAAGCCAUGGAAGCUGGGGGUGCCUGAAGUCGGUGACCGCAAGGAGCCGCCUAGGGCAAAACUAGUAA
rnacentral:rRNA from 1 species